GUUAAUAAAUUUAUUUUGAAAUAAUUUUACAUUUAGAGAAGAGUUGGGAAGAUAAUACAGAGAGCUCCUUUAUACUCUUUACCUAGCUACCCCUAAUGUUAACAUCUUACACAACCAGCUACAUUUAACAAAACUAAGAAAUCAACAUUGGUAUCAUACUAUGAACUAAACUACAGACUUCUUUAAGAUUUCAUCGGUUUUUCCCACAGUAGGCUACUGGUGGCUAUGAUUUUCCAAUAGGAAUACCUCUGAGCCACAAGUUGAAAGGAAGCACCUGUUUGAUAAUGUCAAAAAUGAGCCUCAGGUGUCAGUAUUCAACCAUCAGGUCAGGAAGCCAGUUUAUAUAAAGAGAGUAGCCAAGCAUCAUUUAAGAUGUCUGGAUGUCGUCAAGGUGUGUCAGAAGUAAGAGGUGAAUACAAGCCUCUUGGAGCUAUUAACUCUACUUGAAGCAGGAUUCCAAGGAGACAACACCGAGUCCUGCUCUGCUUCCCUCACUCCCUGGCUACUUCCUCCUGGGAGCACUUACUUCCUUAACAGGUCACUCAUACAUGAAUCUUCAUCUCAGAGUCUGCUUCUGGGGGCAGGACCAAAACCUAAGGAUGCAUUAUUGAGGUUGUCUCUGAAAGCAACAGGAUCAUUAUUCUGCCAGGACUUCACAAGAAGCUUACAGAAAAAAAAUGAAGAUGGCAUGCCUUCUUUCAUCCAGUCAACAAUUCAUAACAAGGCUUCAUACUUUGUCUUUCUAAGAGUAUAAAUAUUGAAGUAUUGAAAAUAAAAAUUGCAGUAUUCUGGGAAACAUGAAUCUUUUACAAAGCUCAUUUCCUCUGCAUUUUACAUUCUCAAUGAUGAGAUAGAGAAUGAGACAUUUCAUUCACCAAUGUCUUUGUGUCUGUUUUCAGCUCCAAGGUUUUGGUGAAAACAGUAAAAUUUGUGUGAUAAGAUAAAAGCAGUAUAUAAAAACUUAACAAUAUUUCAAUUUCCCAACCCUUUCUGUGUAUAUGAUAUUACACAAGGUGCCUCUCAGUGAAAGAGUAACAGGAAUAAUAAAUUUCCAUUUUACAAAUUUUAGCAAAGCCUUUUUUACAUACUUUUUAGAAAAUGAGAAAGUGAAUGACUAAAUUGACUAGAUAACAAAUCCACUUGCAAAUCAUAUGCUUUCCAAUUCCUUCUUUGUGAGUGAUUUGAAGAAGGACCCAAUUGAGUUAUCAACUGAUACAUCAUUAAAAACGCUUUCUGAUAACAUAACAACUAUUUGACUUUUAGUGUGUAACUUGUAAUGGAAUGAUUUUGCUAUAAUAAAACUAUUUCUAUUCAUUUACUUAUCUAGGUGAACAAUGUUUCUUAAUUCUUACCUCUAUAGACAUAAUACAAAUUUACUGUAACCUUUUGAGAACACC
rnacentral:lncRNA from 1 species